rnacentral:rRNA from 1 species
CGGGAUAAGCUUGGGAAACUGGGUCUAAUACCGGAUAGGACCGCACUUUAGUGUGUGUGGUGGAAAGUUUUUUCGGUGUAGGAUGAGCUCGCGGCCUAUCAGCUUGUUGGUGGGGUAAUGGCCUACCAAGGCGGCGACGGGUAGCCGGCCUGAGAGGGUGUACGGCCACAUUGGGACUGAGAUACGGCCCAG